UAGCCGAGAGGCCGAUUUUUUUCCUACUGCUGACUAUCCAUUUUUCUUCCAUCCAUCCACUCCCUCCUCCGUUCAGUUACUCUCCCGCUGCGUCUCCCAAUCUUGCUUUGUAAUGAAAAUGAUGACGACGUCUCUACUCUGUUGUUGCUGAAAAUUGGAAGGCAACGGGAAUUGAAAUUGUCUAUCAUACUAGAAAGCUUGUUUUAAACUACAAAACAGCAGAAAAUUUCGUUUAAAUUAGACGCAUUCUUCAAAAUGCAAAUCCUCCCCCGACGUAUUCCAGAAUCGAUUUUGAAUUCUCUCGGCUCACCCUUCGCCCCCUAGUGUUUCGUCGAGUGACAUCGCGUAUCGGGUGAUGAUAUUUUUCCUGCUCUGAUUCUUAGAACUUGGAUUCAAGUCUAUUUUGCCUGAUAAGCUGUUUUUGUCGUGGCCGUGCCAAAACCGGACAAAGAAAAUUCCACCAGAAUGUCGCAUCGCAGCGGGCAGUUCCUUUUUUUUCUGCGACUCCUGGGAUUCAUCAUCUUCGUUUAGCAAUAUCAGUCAUUAUUCUGGUUGAUUGUGUAUGUGUUUGUGUACGUGCGCUCGAAUAAAAUGAGUCAUUUGCCGUGGCAGGUCCAACAGCGAUCGUGGAUUGAUUCACAAACACGCACGCACGCAUCAGACGUUACUCAUUCAUUGUUUGCUGUGUAGAACGUCAGUGUUGAUUUUUUGUUUUAUGUUUUUGCUUGUUCUGCUUUGCUGCCAUGCCAUCAGCACCCCCCCCCCCUCUUUGUAUGCUUCGUUGUUAUUUUUCGGGGAUGGCACUAUUUAAAUGGCUCACUACGAUCGGUUGCGAUAAACAGGAGUUACACCACUGUUUGGUGUGUUAUUCAGAUGGAAUAUGCAAACAUGGUUACAUCACAUGCACGAAUGGUUCAUUCAAAUCUGAUACCGAGCUGAUAGAAAUAGUAAAUAGGUACAUGAUUUUACAUCUGUGACUGCUUUUUUUGAGUUUGCAAAACAGCUUUCUGUUUGUAAGUGCUCUGAAAUCUGCUGUGUCGACGUAUUCGACAUGAAUUGCGAUGCGAGAAAAUUGCUCCACCUAGUUUCCGCAGGAGAUCCGCAUCAAAUGUGCUGUCGUAUUGGUCGACGCUUCAACUUGAACGCAGUUUCAGGGAUUGGUCUAUUUUCUUUGUCGGUUUUUUUCCGGGAACAGUCUCAACAUUAUGAGGUUGGCCUCGUUCUAGAUUUGUAACAUGAGUUUGUGUUUGAACUGUUCGAGACAACAAUGAAAAUUAAGAAUCCGGGUAUAAUGAUACUAAUAGGAGCAAAACCAAUGCAAUUUGCUAUUUCCUAACACACUAUCGAAUGUUUAUUUAGGUCGUCGGUAAGAUCAAUUUUACGACCAUACUCUCCCGAGAAUUUUUAAAUUCAUAGGGGGAGCCUUUUGAGGUCUAUUUGGUUGUUAAAAUAACACAAUACUGCCUCCUUCAACUGUCAACUGAUAAGCUCACAGUUUACGGAAUAGAUUUGUGUUUAUGAACAUCUAAAAAUGCCAUUUCAAAUAAUACUUACAAAUCAAGUAAUAAUUGAUAUUCUACUUGAUCUCGUAAUCUAUAGUGACUACAGUGUGACUUAGGUUCUAUUGAAAAUUUUCUCCAGAAAUUUGUCUUCGUAUGCUUUGUGUGAUUUACUGUAUUAGACAAAACAUUUUGUUCUCUAUCUCUGUUGCUGAUAAUUAUUGAAUCGCUUGCUUACAUGCUGGUUGACACUGGCAACGGUGCGUAGAACAGACCUUAAUCUGCAAACGUUUGUACCAGUAUACAUUCUAGUCCCGCUAUGCAUUGGUUGAUUAUAAAUAGUCGUAACUGUGAGGAGAAUAUUAGCUUUUUCUCACAAAAAAAAACAAUCCUGCUAGUAUAGUGGAGACUCUUAUCACCUGUGAAGCGGAUUCGAGCACACGAGCAGAAAUAUUGUCAAUAAAUCAAUUAUUGAUCCAUAUAUUGAUCGUGUGAAGCUAUUUUUAAAAUAUCGAUCCUGUAGAAUUUAAAUGGGGUGUACGUAUUGAUGCUGUUUUGUCAAUAUUUUUAUUGACAUUAUUCUGGCCUCGUGUAGGGUCCGCUUGACACGUUGCUGCUUUUCAGAGGAAAAAAAAAUCAACCUAGAGGCGUCAUCAGUAGCUAAGCACAGAAUGUUAUUCACUGCUCCCAUCAGUCCGACAAAAACAAGCAUCUGUCAAAGUAUUCGAUGGAGGAGACCCGGUAUAUUUUUAUCUAAUCCAUUAGUUUAAUUGAAACCCCGUUUGUAACAUAAUGAAAUGAUUAAAUUUUUGAACUAUUAGGUUAAUAAAUGCUACAAGAAUAUUGUGCUAAGUAUAUACGAUUAGCACAAAUAAUGAUUUGAUCGGAAUAUCUAUCCCUUGCAAUCUACAUGUUUUUGGGUUUAUAUUAGAUCAUGGAAGCGCUGAAUCUUAAAAAAAAACACUAUUGGUGAAGAGCGGGUAUAGCGUAGUUAGUAAAUAAAUUGCCAUGUACGCCGCUCAUCACGGAUCGAUUCCCAACCCCGCCAUAGGGUUUGCGAUUUUUUCAAUCCGAAAAAAAGAGACGAAUGACUAAAAAGUUAAAACCUGUAUAGUCAUUAUAAAACAAUAACAAUCUUCAGCUCAUCUAUGUCCUGCGUCCUAAAUAACUCAUCACAAUUAACUAAACCUAAUUAAAAUGAGUCAUGAGGCCAUUUACCGUGUAUCGAGCUGAAAGACGAGCCGGACUGUCAACUUACAAGAAGGUGGUGAUUCCAACUCGUGACGAUAAGCAAAACAAACCGUCCAGAGAACGAUCGCGGAAGCUUUACAUGAUAGAUGCUGACGAAGUUUGACUGCGUGGUACACCAUGAUGAAACUUACGUGAAUGCCGAUUUUAAGCAGCUACCUGUCCAGGGAGCUAUAAGUCGAUUGGUAGAGGAAACUUGGAACAGCAUUUCAAACGCAUUAAACUGUCGAAGUUCGCAAAAAAUAUCUCGUGUGGUAGGCCAUCUGUGCCCGUGGCUUGAAAAGCGAUAUUUAGAUCACAAUCGGGACCUUCAACCAGGAAAUUUAUGUUCAGGAGUACGCAAAGAAACGUCUGUUGCUUUUCUUCAAGCAGCACAAUUCUCAACAAACAUGAUUAAGCACUAUUUACACCCUUCCGAUCCGAUUCAGCUUCGUCUCGAAAUUGAGCUCCCUUGCAUAGUUUCUCUUAACGAACUAGUGAGUAUUGGUUUUUUGAUAGAUCGACAAAAGCUAUUAGUAAAAUAAGUUAACAAUUCUAGCUACCACUUUGAUGCUUAUCCACUGCAAACACAUAGUAUCGUUACCCCCGGCUGUGUUGUCAAAUGAGCGAGCCACAGAGAAUAUUACGAGAAAAUACAACUUCUAUCUACUUUUAUUAAAAUGUGAUACAGUUACUAAAACUGAAAAUGGAGCAAACAUUUCGAGGAUACAUACAGCUAAACCACGUCCAUAAACGUGUGCUAGUAACGUUGAGAAGUUUAGCCGACGCAAAAAACUUCAUUGGGCAGAAAAACACGAAGUUGUUGACUACGCCCCGUCGUUAACUACAUCUACCUCAGUUAGUUAAAUUUACUGCGUGCCGCCUCGAUGCCGCUGUAUCGAAAUACACCCCACCCGGUCUGCUCGGGGGAUUGGCCAGAACAGAAAGGGCAUAUACAAAAACAAAACAACCAUCAUUGAUUAAAUCCAACUUGUUGAUUACGUGGAAGAGCUAAACUAAAGUGAACUAAUUAAUACUAUAUUUUUUUUGCUAUUUAUCGCAUCCUUAUACCUACGGGUGGAAUUAUAUUUAGAGCUUAAACCUAGACUUACAACUAGUGAGCAAUAACUUAAAACUAGGUUAAAAUAGAUACGAGGCGCGUUUGGUUAAUUAAUUUACCGCAAACUAGUGCUAUUGGAAGGAAACAGUUGUUCGGAACAGACCGUGUUGCCAGUUUAUUUGGGUCCUAGCUGGAUCAUUAAAAGAAUUUUUUAAUUGUAUUUCGGUCAUCAAGGAAUAAAUUAUUUAAUUUGGAUCCAGCUCGUUGUCCCCGCAACACGAAGUCGAACAUGACAACGUUAAAACCAAGAUCCUUGUUUACAACGAAGACGAUGAAAUCGAUGUACGUUUAGACGAUUUAGUACCGCACACCAAAUAAGACCACAUUAAAAGAUUCAUGUCGGAAUGCGGAGAAGUGACACCCGUUACGAGCGAUACUUGGAGAAGCCUUUUCACUGGCGUUCACGACAGCGUUUUUGUCAUGAAUAUGCGUCUGACGAAACAUAUCUCUUCCUGUUCGACUGCUAACCGAACGCGAAAAUACAUUAAUUUUAAACAAAUAACGCUCUGCAUCUACUCUGAUCAGACAUCUACGUGCCAAUUUUUCUGUAACCAGACGGCACAUUACGGAAAGUCAUGCACCGAAGCCGUUAAAAAAAAUGAACCUACUAUAAUCAACAUUAGCAACCAGCAUGCGGCAUACGCUGCUAAAACAAUCAUAAUGCCUUCAAUCAACUGAUGCAUUUUGUAUCACGAGACCUGCUGCCAGUAAAGAAAUUGAGCAGAUACAACCGUUGCGCCCAGUGCCUUGAACCCAACAACCAGCAACUCUAAUAGUGAAGCAAAUGCAUGUGCAUAGUUAACAACAGGUUUAUUUUUUCUUUUGCUAAUCUUCGUACAAUACAACCCAGGUAACCAACAAGCAUGCUGAAUGCGUCUUAACGGCUACUUGAUAAGCACUUAAGUCGUUUGAAAUGCUAUUUAAAAGUCGCUUUUGGCAAAAUAUACGGCUACAUUACUGCUGUGCUAUGAAAAUGCUUUUUUACUACUGUUGUGCAUUCAGAAUGCUGCUUACUGGCAAGAAGUUUUUAAACAGUUUUUCAAAUGCUGAUUAACAACAGUUAUACAUAACGAAUGCCAGCAUACUGCAAGAAGCAUCCGGAAUGCAAAUUUUACGCUACUUUACUGCAUACACUAAUGCUUGUUUGUUACCUGGGAAGUCUGCUUUAGAUGUGGGGGAGGGGACAACCGUGAAACGACGUCAUUAUCGAGGGAAAGGAGUUUUUAUUCUCAGGUGAUACGAUUAUCAAAAAGGCUUCCCUCGGACGUUUACCCUCACUUCUCACCUAGUUACUGCCAAAGAUGAAUCACCUAAGAACUCUAAACACCAAGGUCUAGAUCCCGGAAAAGCAAAUUUACGCAUUUCUGGAUUGUCCUUUUAAUAGUAGUUGACGGCUUCCAAAUAUGAGAUUUUCUCAAGGCGGCAGCAUGGUUUCCACCGCUAAAGCUUUGUCCUGAUCGGUUUUGAUUCCAUUUCCACCCAGAAAAAAGCUUCUUGAGUCGACGUAGAGUUUGAUGCACGUUGCGGUCGUGUUCUUCCUGUGUGGAUAUAAUCCAGGUAGCCAGGCCGACUAAGAUCGCUGGUCACUGUGUCUACAAACUGUUGGAUGGUUGGUUCAUGGUGAGCAGGUGCUGGUCCCGUGGAUCAACUUAGACCUGAAGGUAAGCAUCUGACAGGCCGAUGUGGCAGUAUAACUUGCAGUCUGCCAUCUUCGCAAAGAUGUGCUCAGGUAGAGGGAGUGGGUACUGGUUGGGCUCCAAGAUGUUAUUCAGUCCCGUUUCCGCACUACCGCGAUUGGUGCUUCCCAAUCGGAACUAUCAAUAGGCUGUAGGCUACUGGGCGGAACUCUGCUUUUGGGUCCCCUUUGAGUGUGCGCUGAACUCUUGUCUUAGUGUAAUGGCCCAUAUCACGGUGAUUUAGCGACAGAUUGAACUAGAGGGGACAUCUCACAGCCCAAAUAACUCAUUCCAAGCUCCUCCUAAAAUAUCCAGAUUAAGGUUAGUCCACCACGAUACGACACAGGGCUCUUCUUGUGAUGUUGCCGAUCUCCACGUCGAUGCUCCAAAUGCAAAUGCGAGGUCCCUGUCCCGAGCCAGAUCUGGCGCUGCAUGAUGGUUUGGAUUGUAGUGGCUGUUCGAUAUGCCUUCAAAACUGUUCGGAAAUUAUUGUAAUGUCCGACGCUGAACCAAUCUGCAGCUGGAUCGGGACUCGAUUGAUUUGGCUCUCAGCAAACUUCCUCCUCCGUCAGACAUUCCUGACCGACACGACUUUCACGCCCGUGCUCGCAGCAUCAAACUUUUUAUUGGCAGUUGCCUUUUUUGAAAAACCGGCGAAGUGUACUUCCUUAUGGCCCUUUUUGUUGCAGUCACGGCACUGAUGAUCUUUGCACUGGCAAUUCUUCGAAAAGUGCAUAGAUUCACGCAACCAGCAUGGUCGCUGCUAGGGCCGGUUCCGUUUUGGGUGAAGUUUCUGCUUGAAUAUGUUCUGCCUAACUACCUGCACCACUGCUGGAGCUCGAGGAGUCUCGACAAGAGUUCUUGAGCGUUUUUUUAAAAGACAUCUACAAUGAGUGAUUCUCUUUGUUUAUUUUCUCUUUCGAUUUUUACGGCGUCACUAUAGCUCUUUUCACUUAUUUUACAGUACAGAUCGAAAGAUGGUGGUUUUGACUAGCAAAUUAUGCAAAGAGUUGAGGGAUAAAUGUUAAAGCGACCGAAUUAUUAACAGAAGAGAAAGUAGACAAAGAGAGUCACUUAUUGUAGAUAUGUCGUUUUGAAUAAAAGGUCUAGAGUUUUGUACCUUUUUAAUAUCACUCAAAAAAUAAAUCAUGUUACUUCUACGUGAAUUCAUAUGUGAUUCUCAUCCACUGCACUUUUCACGUAAACUCUAUAGGGUUGCCCGGUAUAUUAGAGCCAGUUUCAAUAUCUGAUUCAUCAUGUAAAAGUUAAAUGAUUUUUGCAUAAUUUGCAAUAAAAAAUCACGUAGAAUUCACAUGAAGCCGAACAUAAUAAUAACAUGAAAUGAAACGUGAUUAUUACAUGAAUACAAAUGCAAUAAUUAGAUAACGUGGAACGUAGAAAUUACAUGACGCCAAACGUAGCAAUCACAUGACACAACAUGUUCAUUUUAUGAAGAUUAUUAAUAUUUAGUUUAUUAUUUCAAUGGAGGUGUUUUCGAUUAUUUUUCGUUGUAAGUAAUGAAAGCAGCAUAUAAUAAAUGAAGGGAAAUCUUAUUUAUUAUCUUUAAACAAAAUAACUAACUAAUCCUAAAUACCAGAAUUAAUUCUUUGUACGUGAUGUUUAAUGCAUAGUGCGUUCUAGUAAGUCCAGCCAGAAAAUAAGCCGGAGCUUUGGGUGGUUCUGGUUACAAUCAGGCUCCAGUGACAUAACCGGUUCUAGUUAGAAUCGGUUAUGUCACUGGAACCGGAGACUAACUAGAGCCAACCUGAAUUCCGGUAUGUCUUACUGGGUUAUCCUGAUCGGUCGAGCUGAUAUGUAACUUAUCGUAGCUGUUUUUAUCUUUUACAUGAAUUGUGGUAACGUGACCAAUACAUAUAUUUUAAGCCUAUAGUACAGCAGAAAAACAACGGACAUUCUUAAUAGAUAACAAUAUACAUUUGCUAAUACGAUAUAAAGUUUGUUUUGUUUGUCUUAUCAUUUCAAAUUUCAGCUUAAAAUAUUAUAAUUAUUAUUUUUGCAUGGGGUGGUUACGCAAGCUCGAAUUCAUGACUAAAACAGUUAAUAUAUAAAAAAUAUAUCAUAUUUGUCGAUAAACAGCAUUAUUGUUUGCUAGCUAGUCCUUUGAUAUUGAUAACCAGACUUGUGUUGCUACACAAGUGCUUGAGUGAACGACUUCAUAAUCACGGCAGUCACGAUACAAAAGUUGCAGGAUUAAGGCGGUUUGUGUUGCAAGUGACACUGGCUGAUGCCCCUGUUGUAUUUGGAGUAGACAAAAUUACAAAGAUUCUGACAAAGAAAUUGAUCAUGCCGAUGGUGACUACCUCCUGAACCGUGUUGAGGGUAGCGGGGAAUCGUAGUAUGUUCAGGUGCUAGAUAAGCAAUAUAUCCUCUCUUCCUCAGCAAAUUGUUGUGAUCUAUUUACCUCUUGGGGAAUAGGCACGCGCUGGGUCUAAUCGAUUUUAUGUUUGCCCUGACAGUUUAUGGUCAAGAGUUAUUGGAACAGAUUAUUCAGCUAGAAACAUAAAUAUUGUUGCUAUAAAAUAUAGCAAGGAGUAUCUAGAAAACUUACCCCAUUGGUAGGAAUAUUCCACGUAUUGUAAAGAGGCAUUCCUUGCUCGCACUUCUGUUUGGUUGACGAAUGUUUAUCGGCUGUAUCAUUCCUCCCGAGCAUUCGAGUUCUCGCUCGGCCACUAUAAUACUCACAAUUAACGGAACUGACGAUACCGUAUGGAACCGAUGCCGAGAAUUUUAUAUCCAAGAUCAAACGUUUCUGGCAGUAGUAAUCAUUGCUUUGGUUGUUUAUCCCCACUUGAGCCUUUUAAAGUUGCUCCCUCCACCAGCAACGAAAUAUCGAGUAUAUUUGAAAACACCCAAUAAACCAGUUGACGAAAUACGCUUUGAGUAAUAUCUCUGAAAUUUAUACAAAAAGAUACUGAUUACAUUUUGAACGACAUGUAAUUAUAUAACAAGUAAGCUAUACUUACAGUGGAGUACUUGCAAACGUUUAUGUGCUGCAUUCAACAAAUUCUUAAUCACAUUGUCAUUUCAUUUUUUCACAUAGGAAAUGCACGUAAACUGCGCUUCGACUAUAAUAUUCGCAUCACUUGAAGAUUAUAUGUCAAUCACAUAAAGCCUACAAGGUUACCAUAUGGUGAUUAUAGGAAUCACAUGAUGUAUGUUGGAAUUCAAAAAUAUUCAUUUACGUGAUCAUUCACAUGAAUUUAAAGUGAUUUAUUUUUUGAGUAUAAUUGACCAGAUUCUUGCACUCUUUGACCGCGGUUUCGUUUAACUUGGUGUCAGAAACCCUUGACGAUCUCAGUCCGUACGCCAAAAUAAGCGAUUAAAAUUGCGCUUUGAAAAGCACUCCAAUCUUAAAAUCCACCCAUGCCCGACAUACCUUGCAAGAGUACGAAAUGAAAUCGACCGCCUCAUCCUUAACGGUUUAUAGACAUUGGUAUCUUCGUUGGAAGAUAGCCACUGGUAACCCGAAGAUGACUUUGAGCUUCUCGACGCUUUGUUCGAACGUAAAAUCCUUCGAUUUUUUCGGGAGGAUGAAGCUCGGGAAUCGUUCGUGUGCCGCUAGGUUUAGCUUUCUCAUGAGGAACCGGAAUUUCGCUGCGUCGUUCAAUUUCCCCGCAUCUUCGUUGAACACCGCACCUUGAGUAUCAGGUGUCGAAGUCGCAUCUUCGUUCCGGAUCGUAGACGGACUUAUUGGUGCUACUGGCGAGCGAGUUUAACGCGGUCUCAUUUCUCGACAUCCCCUGUAUGGCUGACACUUGCGAUGUGAGCUUCGUUACUAACUGCCGUAGCAGUAGCAGUGGUCGGUGUUCUGCUGCUUCAGUGCCGCUUGAGCGGCUUCCGAAGCCGGUGCAUCCGACAUUGUCACCUAACCUUAAUUUCGGUGCGUUACGAUUAUUUGACAAAAUGCGACGAAAUCGGACAAUUUGCGCGAAAGCGGCACCGACUAAUCCCUGUCGCCACGCUGUAGCAAUUUUUUUUUUUUAGUUUUAUUUACGUGACUUUAAAUAGGAAUAUUCAUUCGUCAAGUCGUUGUUGUAAUGAAACAAGGUAUUUUUCAACAAACAGGUAUUGGUUGGAAAAGCUAUUGAGGACGGAUUAUAUUCUGGUUAUUCCGUUUGAUUCCUUUUUUACUCAAGCUAGACUGGCCUAUAGUGCGCCGUCGAUGUGGUAACGUGGUUUCGAGGUUUAGUCCUGAUACUAUACUAGAAGGUUCUAUCAACAUGGCAUUGGAUACGUUCAUGCUUACCUAUAGAGCCACUCCAAACUCAAAUACGCCCGAUGAAAGAUCACCUGCGGAACUGGUGUGCUAUCGUCGGCUUAAAACAGCGUUAGAACUACUACGUGCACCACGCAAUCGAGUAUUGUCGAGGGACAUCGAUCAUCAAUACUGGCCGUUCGUUCCGAAGGGUGGACUAUUAGACUAAAAAUGCAAAAUAAAUGGUUGUGCCAUUUUCGUUUUUGAAUCGUAAACAGAAGUGAAGAAGAAGACAUUGACCAGAUCGAGUGUAUUUUUGACCCCAUAACUCUGAGUCUUGAAAUGCAUCUGGUACUUGUUUGAGAAAAAUAUAAAUACGCUAGCAGCAGCAAAGCAGUUACAAGGUCAGAAACCCUAUUUCCUCUCGAGAAAAAAAGUUGUUCCAGCGGAUUUAGUUUCGUCUCCCAGUCAUCAAUCUUAUCAGCUGUCUUGUCUGUGAUAGUGUGUUGUAAGCGAUUGGCAGAAGGUCUUUUCACUUUUAAACAUGUUUUUAAGAUAACCAACCCGUUAAAUAAUCU